UCAAUAAAAAGUGAGCAGCGCCUG
rnacentral:piRNA from 1 species